rnacentral:rRNA from 1 species
CCCUUAGAUGUCCUGGGCCGCACGCGCGCUACACUGAUGCAUGCAACGAGUUCUUUUUUUCCCUGGGUCGAGAGGCUCGGGUAAUCUUUGGAACGUGCAUCGUGAUAGGGAUAGAUCAUUGCAACUAUUGAUCUUGAACGAGGAAUUCCUAGUAAACGCGAGUCGUCAGCUCGCAUUGAUUACGUCCCUGCCCUUUGUACACACCGCCCGUCGCUCCUACCGAUUGAAUGCUCAGGUGAGCCAUUCGGACUUUCAUCAUGCUGGUUUCCAGUUUUGAUGAAGGAAAGUCUUGCGAACCUUAUCAUUUAGAGGAAGGAGAAGUCGUAACA